CGAUGUUAUUAUAUUUGAUUCAUUACCAGUGUUGGUUCAAAGAGGUUGAUUCGGUUUGCUGUUUGCUAUCAGUUGACAUUUAACUGUUCCCUGAAUGUUUGCCUGCCUUGGAUACUGUUAAUGUCAACGUGUGGUUUGCCUCCACCAAAAGAUGAGAAAUACACGGAAGACAGAGAGCAAAGGAGAAGAAGAAGUAGUGGGAACACAGAUGGAGGUGAGAGGGAAGGACAGACAGAACAGUGAAUGAGAGGAGAGAGGGAGAAGCCUCAAAGAAGUAGAAAGAAGUCGGGUAUAGCGACAGGGAGAGGAGGGAAUCACUCAGUCGUUUCUGCGGAGAGAAAGAGCUUUAUAUUCAGUGAUGGGAGAAAGAUGACGUUCUGGCAGGAUGACAAUGAGGCCUAAGGGGCGCUGAGGCAGGCACAGUCAGCUUUAUUCAAAGCAAAGAUCAAAGGCCAUGCUUCUUUACCCCAAAUUAGUCACCAUUUCACAGUCACUAAAGCUCCCUUCCAACAACUGUACUCACUUGCUCAGCUCCUAAACAAGGCUGUUUUCUGAAAGGUUGGUCACGCAGAGGGGAGAUCUCUGUUUUGGGACGACAGCCCAAAACUAAUUAAGUCCAAACUGCCAAGAAACAGAGAAGCUGAUUGAAAGUUACUUGUUUUUCUGACUUGGAGAAAAUGAUUGCUGAACAUUUUGUCCAUUAUUGGCACUGGUAUUAAAAUACAUGCUGUUGAUUAUAUCAUUGUGCUGGAGUUAGAUAUGAGUAGGCAAG
rnacentral:lncRNA from 1 species